rfam:Hordeum vulgare subsp. vulgare, WGS project CAJW01000000 data, contig: morex_contig_9235
GUAGUACUCUCUCUGCCCUAAAAUUCUUGUUUUAGAUUUAUCUAGAUAUGAAUAUAUCUAAUCCUGUUUUAGUAUUUAAAUACAUCCAUUUUUAGAUAAACAUAAGACAAGAAUUUUGGGACAGAGGGAGUAUCUG